rnacentral:rRNA from 1 species
AUUGAACGCUGGCGGCAUGCCUUACACAUGCAAGUCGAACGGCAGCACGGGGGCAACCCUGGUGGCGAGUGGCGAACGGGUGAGUAACACAUCGGAACGUGCCUGGUAGUGGGGGAUAGCUCGGCGAAAGCCGGAUUAAUACCGCAUACGACCUACGGGUGAAAGCGGGGGAUCGCAAGACCUCGCGCUAUCGGAGCGGCCGAUGUCAGAUUAGGUUGUUGGUGGGGUAAAGGCCACCAAGCCGACGAUCUGUAGCUGGUCUGAGAGGACGGCCAGCCACACUGGCACUGAGACACGGGCCAGACUCCUACGGGAGGCAGCAGUGGGGAAUCUUGGACAAUGGGCGCAAGCCUGAUCCAGCCAUGCCGCGUGAGUGAAGAAGGCCUUAGGGUUGUAAAGCUCUUUUACCAGGGACGAUAAUGACGGUACCUGGAGAAUAAGCCCCGGCAAACUUCGUGCCAGCCGCCGCAGUAAG